rnacentral:piRNA from 1 species
GUGUAUGGUGAGAGAUGAGUCUACUU